rnacentral:rRNA from 1 species
AACGAACGCUGGCGGCAUGCCUAACACAUGCAAGUCGAACGCCUGUAGGCAAUACCAGGAAGUGGCGCACGGGUGAGUAACGCGUGGGAACCUGCCCUGGAGUGGGGAGUAACCGAGAGAAAUUUCGGCUAAUACCGCAUAACGACCUGAGGGUGAAAGAUUUAUCGCUACUAGGGAGGGGCCCCGACGUCGGUAUUAGGCUUAAGGUUGGUGGAGGUAACGCUCACCAAGGCUACGAUCCGUAGCGUGGUCUGAGAGGAUGAUCAGCCGACACUGGGACU